rnacentral:rRNA from 1 species
UCAGGACGAACGCUGGCGGCGUGCUUAACACAUGCAAGUCGAGCGGUAAGGCUCCUUCGGGAGUACACGAGCGGCGAACGGGUGAGUAACACGUGAGCAAUCUGCCCUUCACUUUGGGAUAACCUCCGGAAACGGUGGCUAAUACCGAAUAUGACCACUUCACGCAUGUGAUGGUGGUGGAAAGUUCUGGCGGUGGAGGAUGAGCUCGCGGCCUAUCAGCUUGUUGGUGAGGUAAUGGCUCACCAAGGCUUCGACGGGUAGCCGGCCUGAGAGGGUGACCGGCCACACUGGGACUGAGACACGGCCCAGACUCCUACGGGAGGCAGCAGUGGGGAAUAUUGGACAAUGGGCGAAAGCCUGAUCCAGCAACGCCGCGUGAGGGAUGACGGCCUUCGGGUUGUAAACCUCUUUCAGUACCGACGAAGCGAAAGUGACGGUAGGUACAGAAGAAGGACCGGCCAACUACGUGCCAGCAGCCGCGGUAAUACGUAGGGUCCGAGCGUUGUCCGGAAUUAUUGGGCGUAAAGGGCUCGUAGGCGGUUUGUCGCGUCGGGAGUGAAAACACGGGGCUUAACCCCGUGCCUGCUUCCGAUACGGGCAGACUAGAGGUAUGCAGGGGAGAACGGAAUUCCUGGUGUAGCGGUGAAAUGCGCAGAUAUCAGGAGGAACACCGGUGGCGAAGGCGGUUCUCUGGGCA